UACGUAGGCAGCAAGCGUUGUUCGGAGUUACUGGGCGUAAAGGGUGCGUAGGCGGCUUUUUAAGUUUGGUGUGAAAUCUCCCGGCUCAACUGGGAGGGUGCGCCGAAUACUGAGAGGCUAGAGUGUGGGAGAGGAAAGUGGAAUUCCUGGUGUAGCGGUGAAAUGCGUAGAUAUCAGGAGGAACACCUGUGGUGUAGACGGCUUUCUGGACCAUCACUGACGCUGAGACACGAAAGCGUGGGGAGCAAACAGG
rnacentral:rRNA from 1 species